rnacentral:misc_RNA from 1 species
GCCCCAGUUAUACACAGCAUGUUCUUCUUGCUAUAUAGGUUAAGGGUAUUUCUGCAUCGAUUUCUGAAAGUGAUGGAUAGACGACAUAAAUGUGAUACAGAUAUUAAGGAGAAUUAGAUGUAGUUUGUAUUUCUUUCUGGUCAAUUUAUGCGUACUGAUUUGCCAGUCAAUACUUUUUUGUUUAAGUUUGAUGUUUGUAUUUAUUAGUAAUUGAACAUGGAAUGUUGUAUACAGUAAGAAUUUUUUUUCCUGUGGCAGGUUAGUCUACAUUCACUAAAUCAAUAUUGUAAUGAUUAUUCAGGGUAAAGAGUUUGAGGCUUUACAUUGUCUUUACAGAAAUUGGUGCCAUAUUGUAAAUUAAAUUGAGAUUAUUAGAAUUGUGAUCUUUAACAGAAAAUGUAUGAAAAUGAAUGAGUUGAGAAAAAAAUUAAUGCCAUGUAGUUAAAUUUGAUUUUAAAAAUUAAAAGUCCAAAUACUCCACUUCCAUAUGAUCCAAAACUCCCAACAAAUGUUGAGAAUGACUAGUUUUAUUUUACAUAAUUCACAUUCCAAAUGAUAUUUCCAUCUUACAGUGUAGUAAAGCAGGAUCAGCCAUUGACAUUUUCUUUAGUAUUUAUAGCACAGUAUCACAACUUCCAACAUUCUGCAGAUUUUUUGUGAAAUCACAUUUGCAUGGUGAUUGGGUAAAACAUGUACAUGCAUUUAACAAAAGCCUGCUCAUAAUUUGAAUUCCUUGUUUUACUAUUUCUAAAUUCAUAUACCGGUAGCAUGUGUCUGAUAUUUUGAUGUUUGAUUUAUUUGUUUUAUUUUUUUGUAAGGAACAGAUGUGGUGAUAAUAUUAUGUACACUAAUUUUGUAAUUAUGAAAUGAUUUACAAAAAAUGCUUUAUAUUUAAGAUCAUUAUUUUCCAAAUUAUUCAGGUUUAUGACGUUUUAUUUAAUAUUGUGUCAUAAUAAUUAUAUAUAGAAAGAAUCUUAAUUACACAAUGUGUUAAAAUUUUUGUGAGGAAAGAUAAUCUCUGUCUUUUUGUUUCUUUUGAUAUUUGAAUGAUUGGUUUGGAUAGUAAAGAUUAAACCAGUGUAACUUUAAGAUACAUGUACACUGAUAUUUUAAUAGUCAUAUUUUUUUUCAUGUUAUUAUUUUCUGAUGUAAACCUAUAGGGCAUUGUGUUACAGCAUUUGUUAGUUAUUUGAGUUACUCCUGGUAACUAUGGUAAUACAUGUAGUUUUUAAUUACUGGGGGUAAUCUCAUUGCGCAUCUUGUAAUUCAUUUAACAUUGACAUAUUUAAGUAGUUUUCCCUUUGCUAUAUAUACUGAAAUGAUAACUCAGAGAAGUCAGAAGAAUUUAUUACAGAACAAACAGAUUUUUUUCAGAGGGAAUUCAAUUUAUAUGAAUUCAGUACAUGCUUGAAAGUCAAUUGCUUUAUUGAUUACCGGUACAUAACAUGUAUAUUGAUUAGUCCUGGAAUAUUUUACAGGACAUUCAGCUUUUCUUGCAUUGAUUAUGACAUUAAUUAUUACAUGUCUAAUGGUUAAAGACUAGAGUUUACUUUUAAUGUUAUGCUUUUUGGUAACAUAAUGUGUACAUGUUUUCGAAGUCACUUAACAAUGACAGGAUUUUUUGUUUUCUUGUGUAAAUUGAUUAUUAGGUAAUGAAUUUCAAUUCAUGGAUUUACAGUUUUGAAUUGAUUUCAAAUUCACUUCAAUAAAAAAAAAUGCAGUCU